GAUGAACGCUGGCGGCGGGCCUAAUACAUGCAAGGCGAGCGAACAGACGAGGAGCUUGCUCCUCUGACGUUAGCGGCGGAAGGGUGAGUAACACGUGGAUAACCUACCUAUAAGACUGGGAUAACUUCGGGAAAACGGAGCUAAUACCGGAUAAAAUAUUGAACCGCAUGGUUCAAUAGUGAAAGACGGGUUUGCUGGCACUUAUAGAUGGAUCCGCGCCGCAUUAGCUAGUUGGUAAGGUAACGGCUUACCAAGGCGACGAUGCGUAGCCGACCUGAGAGGGUGAUCGGCCCCACUGGAACUGAGACACGGUCCAGACUCCUACGGGAGGCAGCAGUAGGGAAUCUUCCGCAAUGGGCGAAAGCCUGACGGAGCAACGCCGCGUGAGUGAUGAAGGUCUUCGGAUCGUAAAACUCUGUUAUUAGGGAAGAACAAAUGUGUAAGUAACUAUGCACGUCUUGACGGUACCUAAUCAGAAAGCCACGGCUAACUACGUG
rnacentral:rRNA from 1 species